rnacentral:rRNA from 1 species
AAAUACACAGAAAAGGACAUCUCAGUUCGGAUUGUAGUCUGCAACUCGACUACAUGAAGCUGGAAUCGCUAGUAAUCGCAGAUCAGAAUGCUGCGGUGAAUACGUUCCCGGGUCUUGUACACACCGCCCGUCACACCAUGGGAGUUGGGGAAUGCCCGAAGCCGGUGACCUAACCGCAAGGGAGGAGCUGUCGAAGGCAGGCCCGAUAACUGGGGUGAAGUCGUAACAAGGUACC